rnacentral:rRNA from 1 species
CCCUUAGAUGUCCUGGGCCGCACGCGCGUUACACUGAUGCAUUCAACGAGCAUAUAACCUUGGCCGAGAGGCCUGGGUAAUCUUGUUAACAUGCAUCGUGAUAGGGAUAGAUUAUUGCAAUUAUUAAUCUUGAACGAGGAAUUCCUAGUAAUCGCAGUUCAUCAAACUGCAAUGAUUACGUCCCUGCCCUUUGUACACACCGCCCGUCGCACCUACCGAUUGAAUGGUCCGGUGAGGACUCGGGAUUGUGGUUUAGCUCCUUCAUUGGGGCCUGACUGCGAGAACUUGUCCGAACCUUAUCAUUUAGAGGAAGGUGAANUCGUANCA